GCUCCCUCCGCGCCAUCAGACUCCUACCGGAGGCGAGCAGUGGGAAGUAUUAGUCACAACUAGGGCGGCAAGCCUCGAUGCAGUCAUGCCGCGUGUGUGAGAAGCUCGGUGUAAGCACUUCAGCGAGGAGGAAGGCGUUGCAGUUAAUAGCUGCAACGAUUGACGUUACUCGCAGAAGAAGCACCGGCUAACUCCGUGCCAGCAGCCGCGGAAUUC
rnacentral:rRNA from 1 species